GCCUCAAUAUCAAAAAUCAAAAAAGAAUGUUUAAAUGAUUCCAUUUUACUCAAAGGUAUUUAUUACUCGGUUCCUGGUCUUGGUUUUGAAGCCCAUCAAUGCCAUCUUGUGGACCAGAAAAUAGGAGCAUCCUCAAGUUUUAAUGGACCUUUUCUAAACAAGGUGCUUCUCUCAGUGAGGAGCAUCCGUGUCCUCUAUUAACAGAGUGUCCUCUGUUCACGUGGGACAGGAUGUGUGUUCUUGUCUGUUUGUUCCAGUGAUGGAGACUUGUACUCCCUGGACACGAGUGUUCAAGUUCCUGUUCGCUCCCAGGGAAGCACACCUAGAACUCAUGUGUUUAGUGUCAUAACCCAAUGGAAUUUUUAAAGAAACAGCUCACCUGAAAAUAAUUUACCUCAUGCCAUUCCAAAUGCAUAUGACCGUCUUCUGUGUAAUACAAAAGGAGAAUUUUUGAAGAAUGUCCAUGCUACUUAUUAAUUCAGAGAGGGAAGACAGUGAUUAAAGGGAUGUCAAGCUACAAAAAAGUAUCAUAAAAGUAGUCCAAUCAUCCACUACAUUUUGUGUCAUCCAAAGCCAUACAAUUGCUUUGUGUGAUGGACAAGCUGAAUUUUUAGUUGCUAUGUUCUACAAUCUACCCAUUUGUUAGUUGUCACAUCUCAUUUACACUCGUUUUCACAUAUUCAUAUUCAGCAUCAGUUACAACGGGUACUCAUGCAUCCUCUGGCAAAUUGAAGCAAUCUUGAAUUGUUUUACUUUUAAAAAAUACUUAAAAAUAUAUGUUAGUGCAACGUUGGCCAGCAGCAAACUUGCUACCAGCUGAUCACACCAGUUUAAGGUGGUCAGCUUGGUUAGUAACAUAUUGGUCAACUACUCAUUAGUAAAUGUAUCUCUUAUGACCAGCAAUAGCUAGACACCAGCUGUCAAACUGGAUUUUGCAUCAGGGAUGAGAACGAAAAUAGAGAAAUACUGUAUACGGUUGCUACCAGUUUUAAAAUAAUGCAUUACAAAAUUGCGUUACUCCCUAAAAAAGUAACUGUUGUUACUUUUUAUAGAAAAUAAUGUGUUAUGUUUCUUUUGCAUUACUUUUUCUCAUCUUGGCACCUCAAACAAACCUUUCUGCAGUGCUACCAUUUUGAAUUGCAGAAGAAUAGCACAGUAGAAGAAAGAAACUUCAACACUCUUACUUCAGCAAUGAAACACAAAUGUGAUUCGUAUGGUUGGAUGAUAUUUGUAUGGUUGGAUUAUCAUCGAAGGUCAGCUGUAGACACUGGUUAAUAAAUUAGAAUGAAAUACCUAAAGAAUAUUUGUAUUAUUGAACAUUAUUAUUGCAUGUUUGCGCCAUAUUCUGAGUUUGCAUUUAUUAAUUUUAGGAAUAGGCCUACUGAAUCUGUUUUUGUGCAAGUGAUAUCACAUUUAAGCUGUCCUUCAAUAAAUGGGAAAACAAAGUAUAGCCUAAUUAAUGUUACUUUUUUUGAAAAUCUAGAAUUGAUAUAUUUUCAAAAAAGUAAUUUAGAAAUGUGGAAGAUAUUUUUUUCUUGUAAAUUAAAAAGUAAUUCGUUACUUUACUAGUUAUUGAAAAAGUAGGCUAAUCUGAUUACGUAACUCGCAUUACUUGUAAUGAUGACAGAAUUUUAUUUAGCCUAUUUCUGAUAGGCUACAUUUUUUGAAGUAUAUUUUUUGUUAAAGCAAAACUGUGAACAAACAGUGAGUAGGCUAUACACGUGCCAUUGAACUAAUGGAGAAUGUUGAUUUCCAAUGUUAAACCUUCUUUAUAAAUCAUUUUAAUUGUGAAAGUAAUUGUAUAUUCGCAGCUCGCCAGUGUCGGAUUUCAUUACUGUGAUACACUUGACAGACUAAUUAAAGAUGCUUGUUUUCAACGCUCUCGACCCCAGAGACUCGUGUUUGCCAAACUAACUUUAUUCAUGUGACGACCGCGCUCUUCUCUCGGGAAAGCGCACAGGAGAUUUCCGCUGGUUUUCAUCGUUUCUAGCCGACAAAAUGACUUACAGAUAGACCGAACCGAAUGCGAGGAAGGUGGAUCAGCACAUGAGGACACGGUUUGCUUAGUAUCGUAUCACUUAAUGAGGACGCCACAGCAAUGACAGAGUCUGAAUCCGAGUCAUGAAGUGUGUAACCGUGUUUCCAGAGCAGACGGUCAGUCAGCUGAAGGCUGUUUGGCAGAGAUGGGCUCAGUGACCUCAGCCUUCACCAGGUCUCGCAACACGUUGGUCAAAGUGGGUUCGGAGCCGCAGAAAGAGCCGGACGGGAAAACGCGGAGCGGGUCCGGUUUGAUCGCAAAACAAACUAGCAAACAACCGCUGGCGCGGAAAACAACCGGCGCCUCGAGAGCAAACACACCACAAGCUCCUGCGUCUGCUACAGUAGCUAAUGAGGAUGGGGAGACCAACAGCAGGCCCCUGGCGAGAUUUGCACGCUCAAAGUCUCAGAGCGCACUAUGGAACACACUCACUGCUGGGACGUGCAAGAAUGAGAAGGUCAAAGUUCAGAGGGACGUUCCAGACGAUCCACGCAGAAUAGAAGAGAUCCUGGCGGAUGAGCUUCCCUCUACAGACGUCCCAGAAGCAACAGAGAAAACUGCUGUCAGAUUACGAUGCUUGGUAAAACAGUUGGAGAGGGGAGAGGCGUCUCUCGUGGACCUGAAGAAAAACCUGGAAUAUGCCGCCACUGUUUUGGAAUCGGUCUAUAUUGAGGAAACAAGGCGAUUGGUCGAUACCGAGGAUGAGCUCAGCGAUAUCCAAUCAGAUUCUGUGCCGUCAGAGGUCCGUGAUUGGCUGGCCUCCACCUUCACGCGGCAGAUGGGGCUGAUGCUACGACGGACCGAAGAGAAGCCGCGAUUUCGCAGCAUCGUACACGCAGUGCAGGCUGGGAUAUUCGUGGAGAGAAUGUACCGGAGAACCUCUAACAUGGUGGGACUGAGUUACCCUCCGUCUGUCAUAGCAGUGCUUAAGCAUGUGGAUAAGUGGUCUUUUGAUGUAUUUGCUCUGAACGAGUCGAGCGGUGACCACGCUCUCAAAUUCAUCUUUUACGAGCUCCUCACCCGAUACGACCUCAUCAGCCGCUUCAAGAUCCCCGUCUCAGCACUGGUCUCAUUUGUGGAGGCUCUGGAAGUGGGAUACAGCAAACAUAAAAACCCCUACCACAACCUGAUCCAUGCAGCCGACGUCACACAGACCGUGCACUACCUGCUCCUCAAGACGGGGAUGGUGCACUGGCUGACAGAGUUGGAGAUUUUUGCAAUGCUUUUCGCUGCUGCUAUCCACGACUAUGAACACACCGGGACCACAAACAACUUCCACAUCCAGACCAGGUCAGACACGGCUAUCCUGUACAACGACCGCUCUGUGCUGGAGAGUCACCAUGUCAGCGCGGCGUAUCGACUGCUCCAGGACGACGACGAGAUGAACAUCCUGUACAACCUCUCCAAAGAUGACUGGAGAGAGCUCAGGGCACUCGUGGUCGAGAUGGUUUUGGCCACUGACAUGUCCUGCCACUUCCAGCAGGUCAAAGCCAUGAAGAAUUUCCUCCAGCUGCCCGAGGGAAUUGACAAACCCAAGGCUCUGUCUCUGCUGUUACACACGGCUGACAUCAGUCAUCCAGCCAAGAACUGGGAUCUACACCAUCGCUGGACUACAUCACUGCUGGAAGAGUUUUUCCGACAGGGCGAUAAGGAGGCAGAACUCGGUCUACCUUUCUCACCUCUGUGCGACCGUAAGUCCACUAUGGUGGCUCAGUCCCAGAUCGGUUUCAUUGACUUCAUUGUUGUUCCCACAUUUACGGUUCUGACGGACAUGACUGAGAAGAUCGUCACACCGCUCAUCGAAGAGGCCACAAGUUCAGGCCUGGCUAGUUUCCGCAGCAUUACUGCGGGAGAUGCGAAGCGGAGCAGUGUGAACAGCUCUGGUUCUGAUGGCAGUGGAUCUCAUAGCUGCUCGCUGCUCACUGUGGACCUGAAGAACUUCAAGACCAUCUGGAACGAGGAGGUUUUUCUCAACAGAGAGCGAUGGAAGACGCAGGCAGCUAAAGAGACGGAGGAGAAGGCCAAACGAGAGCUGGAGGAACAGCAGGAGGCAACAGCAGAAAACCAGGGGCACAAAAAAGACCCAGAGCUGUCGGGACCAAAGAAAGACAGGGUGGGAGAGGACGACCCAGAGCCAGGGGGGGUAAAUGGACCCCCAGAAGAAAGUCCCCAUGACAAAUCAAAGAAUGAAGAGGCACAUCUGAAAUUACAGAACGGACAGUCGGUAGACAGGAAGCGAAGCGGGAGAGAGAGGGGGGCGGGAUCGGGAAAGGUCCGUGAGACAGGACUCAAACUUGGGACGCCUGAAGCGUAACGGCGCUAAAUGUCAGCACAUUGCCCGCAAGGCUAUCACCGCUGAAACACUUGUCUAUAUUUUGAAAAAGUAGUAUUGAGAAGUGUCUGAAGAGGCAGAAUCACCAGCAGAUGAAGACAAGAGAACACUCAAUGAAACUGCAAAUGCCUAGAGAGACUUCCAGCGGCGUCCUGAGGUCCGAUGUCAGACCCAUCGCCAUCAGGAGAAUGCUCGGUUCUGAAGGACCACGGCGCCCUCUAGAGGACACGGCUAAUGCUUACAUCACUUUGUGUUCGGCCUCUAUCCCCUCCAAAUCUUCAGACUUUCAUAAGACUGAUCUCUCUGAAUGAGGAAGGACAAAACAGACGAGAGACAACAGCUGCUUUUGUCUGGUCUGUUUUAUUUACAGAACCAGAUUUCCUUUCCAAACCUUUAAACUGCAGUGGUUGCAUCCACUAAGAAAAGCAUGCAGCAGCUGAACGUAAGGAUUCUUAUUAAAACCUCCAUUUCAAAUGCUUUCUAUGUUUUUCCGCAUUUGAGCAGCCUUGCAGUCGGAUGACUUGGUAUGUGUUUAAAGCUCAAACUGUGAUUUAUAUCUAAAUAUACAUAUAUCUCUAUAUAUAUCUAUAUAUAGAUAUAUAUAUAGAUAUAUAUAAUAUGUGGCCUGCAGUAAAUUGUAAAUAACUAAACUUAAUAGCAGUUGCACCUGUGAACAAUAUUCAGCUUUUGACAACAGCGAUGUUGUGUUCAGCUAUUUUAAAUGCGCUUUACCUAACAUGGACUGAUGCAUUUCAGCAAACAUGCUCCAAUAUAACAUCUGCCUCCGACACACGUUUGUUCGCCUCAUUUGCUAAUAGAGGUCGCAUAUAUGAAACCCUAAAUAUGUAUAUGUAUUACUAUUGUAAAUGACUGUCUGCGUUUAGAUCAGAGCUUUUAUAACUUGAGAAAAGCCGUACGAAGUGGCAGUAUUUCCUAUUCGAGCACGUCUGUGUGCAGCUUUGGAGUAGAAAACGCCUGAUUCAACCUAAGAUUUUUCCUUCUCUCGCUUACCUUCGGAUGCCUUUCUUCAUGUAGUCUUUCUGAAAGCGAACCGAACUGAAACGUCUUCUACAGGAACACACAAACUAGCAGUCACCGUAGAUGAUGUAAGUCUUAUAACUGACCGUAGUAGUGUGUAAGUCAUAACCAUAUCACUGUGCUCGCUCCGCAAUACCUGGAUAUUACGCUGUAUGUCAUUUUUACUGGUUUCCUGGGGUUUGUGACAAGUUUUCUCUGUCCUUUGAGCAAGUCAUCUCAAGAAACCUGAAGAGAACAUGUCCAGGUCAUAUGUCACCUCAAACAUAAACAAAUGACAUUUUGCAUGAGGAAAAGAACCCAAUUUUUUUAGGACUAUAAAGAAUAUAGAAUAGAUUGUCAAAAAUGCUGAAAUGCAAUGAUUGCAUUAUAUAAAUGAGCAUAAAUUAAAGGCGAUAAAACAAACACUCUACCAUUCAAAAGUUUAAUAGGGUCGGUACAAUUGUUUAAUAUAAUAGAAGUCUCUAUAUACUCACUAGGGCUGCAUUUGUUUGAUGAAAAAUGCAGUAAAAGAGUAAUAUUGUGAAAUAUUAUUACACUUUAAAACAACUGCUUUCUAUUUUAGUAUGUUGUAAAAUUGAAUUUACUCCUGUGGCGCAAAACUGAAUUUUCAGCAUCAUUAGUCCAGUCUUUAGUGUCUCACGAUUCUUCAGAAAUCAUUUAAAAAUAACAUUUGAAACAAAAACUUCUGUAAUAUUCUAAAUGUCUUUAUUGUCACUUUUGAUCAAUUUAAUGCAUUCUUGCUGAAGAAAAUUUCUUAAAGAAAACUCACCUCAAACUUUUAAAAAGUAUAUAGAUGGUAUAUAGAUUUUAAUUUAUUUCCUGUUUGAUUUCAAGGUUAAAUGUGACCUGUAUAUGUUUUUGACAGCUUUCCUGAGGUUCAUUCAUUAUGAUGUUCAGCAUUCAGGAGCUAACUAAACUGAAACAUUUAACUCUUUUCUUCUAUUUGUUUCAUCUGAUUUGUUGUAAAUAUGGUUUCUCUGAAUGAGUGAGUCUGAGAUGGGAUGUGUGACUGGGUAAACGCAUGCAUUCUCAGCGAAUGGAUGUAUUCGUUUUUUUGAGGGUGUGACGUGAGUAAAAUUGUAUUUUAUUUAUAAAAAAUCUGUAAAAUUCUAUAUCUCAUUUAUGUAUAUUAUUUACCAGAGUUAUUAAUGUAAGUUGUUUUCUUCCCCCUUCCUCCCUCCACAUUCUUACACAGCAAAAUGAAUAGCAUUGUUUACCCUGACAAAAUGAGAGUAAGUAAUGAAUAUGCAUUUCUUCUGAAAUGAAGCAAAUUGUAAUUUGAUUACAUGGGUCACAUGAUUUAGUUUGCCUUCUUGUGGUUUACAGUAAAGCUUCCUGUAGAUUCAGACUAUUACCAGAGAUCAUGUGGCAGAUGAAUGUGAUGGCAUGUGCUGAGAUGAUGCUACAGUGUGUGUGUAUGUGUGUGUGUGUGUGUGUGUGUGUGUGUGUGAGAGAGUACGAGACUGUCUGUCUGUGUGUGUGUGUGUGUGAGAGCUGAUCAUGUUCAGUUUGUAAAAGUUGACACUGUGAUCUUUAGUGUCUAGCCGUCCCCAUGAUGUCUGUUUUUGAGCAGGACGCAGAGAAAGAGAAAAUGCUCUGUGUCUGCACACGCGUGAUUCACAAUAAACAUCAACUUA